rnacentral:ribozyme from 16 species
UUUCGUAUUUAAAGUGCUCAAAUUUUUCGAGACGAUGUGUUUGUGAAAAAGUAUGUAGAGAAUGGUAAACUCUUCAAGUGAGAAAGGACGCAAAAUUCACUGUAUCGGAA